GUUUCAUUUGUAGAGAGAGAACGAGAUACUAGAGAGGAUGAAAACCAGAGGGUUCCAGCCACCGGCGGUGGCGAUGGUGGAAGGGCAUUUAGAGUGACGGGACAUUGAUAAGUCGGUAACAAUCAUAAACCCUGACGGCGGUGCUAGGGUUUUGCGAUGAUCACAUACUUCCGGCGAAUACAAUGGUGAGGACAGAGAGCCGAUGACCUCUUAGAACCUUCGACGGGUACGGGUUAUUCUCCCAGCGACUACACCCACGUGCAGAGGUGGCCAUGUUUGGUGGUGACGGCUGCUAGGGCUCCGUCGUUCUAGCUUUUGUUCGAAUCAAUGUUUAGGGAUUGCGGAGUGGUUAGGGAGUUUUGAAGUGGGAAAAGGCGGGGACUUUGUCUUUGAGUGAAGAGUUUGAGGUUAGCAGAUAAGUAAAAGAAUCACUGAAUGUAGACCAGUUGUCUAUGGAAGCAUUGGUUGAAUGGCAGUCUUAUUGAGAAGAUGAAGAAUGGGACCACUUCCACAUAACCGUAGUACUGGGAUACUUAUGUCUACAGAAGGAAAUCGGUUGUCGUGAAAGCUUCUACUGAUGAUAGCAACAAUUUGAGUUAAGGGAACAAACAAGUUCAGAGACCAGGCCUUGGUGAAAUCUAACAACUACUUUUAGAUGAU